rnacentral:lncRNA from 1 species
GUCGCUAGCUAGGGUUAACGUGUACACUCAUGGAGACCGCGAGUCGCUUGCGACCGGUCUUGGCGUCCGUGGUAAGGAGGCCUCCUUCCCGGCGCGUGACAGAAAGGACAGAUAUGGAUCAUAUAGACUGAAAAUGGGAUGCAUCCACCUUUAUGAAAAUGAAAGAAAUGUUUUAAGUAAGCGCAGGUCAUUCAAGAAAACCCCUGUGUGUUACUGUUGGCAGUUCAAUUUAUAUAUGUAUGCAUGUUUGUUUUUCGGCUUAUGCCACUGAGUAUUUUUAUACUCAGCCCUGCAUGUAUUUCUAAAUGUGCAGGUUGAGCAGGCGAUGGAAUGGUUGGUGUUGAGCGGGAAUUCUUUUGAUGGAUAUGUAAUGAAACCUUGAGUAUGCAUCUCCAUAUGCAUAACUCACACGUUUUUCCGCUGCAAACACUCUGAAUUUGUUAUCGUAUUCUGGAACUUAAUACUCUUUCAUUUUGUUUAACUUUCACUUGGGUCUAGUCGCUAUGGCAUAAUCAUUUGAUUAACUACCCAAGCAGUGGUUUAUAUAUUACUAGUUUGUUGAUUAAAUAUUAUCUCCUUGGAAUUCGUGUCUAAUUCCCUUAUUUUCCGCUUCUUAUGUUUACCCCAAGUCAUAAACCCAUUUAAACCGUCCUUGGGAUAAGUGGGCUGUGACAG